GCCACCGUAGCUCAGUUGGUAGAGCAGGCGAUUCGUAAUCGUCAGGUCAUGGGUUCGAGUCCCCUCGGUGGCUCCA
rnacentral:tRNA from 1 species